AGCGUACACGGUGGAUGCCCUGGCAGUCAGAGGCGAUGAAGGACGUGCUAAUCUGCGAUAAGCGUCGGUAAGGUGAUAUGAACCGUUAUAACCGGCGAUCUCCGAAUGGGGAAACCCAGUGUGAUUCGUCACACUAUCAUUACGUGAAUACAUAGCGUAAUGAAGCGAACCGGGGGAACUGAAACAUCUAAGUACCCCGAGGAAAAGAAAUCAACCGAGAUUCCCCCAGUAGCGGCGAGCGAACGGGGAGCAGCCCAGAGUCUGAAUCAGCUUGUGUGUUAGUGGAACGGUCUGGAAAGUCCGACGGUACAGGGUGAUAGUCCCGUACACCAAAAUGCACAGGCUGUGAACUCGAAGAGUAGGGCGGGACACGUGGUAUCCUGUCUGAAUAUGGGGGGACCAUCCUCCAAGGCUAAAUACUCCUGACUGACCGAUAGUGAACCAGUACCGUGAGGGAAAGGCGAAAAGAACCCCGGCGAGGGAGUGAAAAAGAACCUGAAACCGUGUACGUACAAGCAGUGGGAGCCUCUUAAUGGGGUGACUGCGUACCUUUUGUAUAAUGGGUCAGCGACUUAUAUUCUGUAGCAAGGUUAACCGCAUAGGGGAGCCGAAGGGAAACCGAGUCUUAACUGGGCGUUAAGUUGCAGGGUAUAGACCCGAAACCCGGUGAUCUAGCCAUGGGCAGGUUGAAGGUUGGGUAACACUAACUGGAGGACCGAACCGACUAAUGUUGAAAAAUUAGCGGAUGACUUGUGGCUGGGGGUGAAAGGCCAAUCAAACCGGGAGAUAGCUGGUUCUCCCCGAAAGCUAUUUAGGUAGCGCCUCGUGAAUUCAUCUUCGGGGGUAGAGCACUGUUUCGGCUAGGGGGUCAUCCCGACUUACCAACCCGAUGCAAACUGCGAAUACCGAAGAAUGUUAUCACGGGAGACACACGGCGGGUGCUAACGUCCGUCGUGAAGAGGGAAACAACCCAGACCGCCAGCUAAGGUCCCAAAGUCACAGUUAAGUGGGAAACGAUGUGGGAAGGCACAGACAGCCAGGAUGUUGGCUUAGAAGCAGCCAUCAUUUAAAGAAAGCGUAAUAGCUCACUGGUCGAGUCGGCCUGCGCGGAAGAUGUAACGGGGCUAAACUGUGCACCGAAGCUGCGGCAGCGACACUAUGUGUUGUUGGGUAGGGGAGCGUUCUGUAAGCCGUUGAAGGUGGCCUGUGAGGGUUGCUGGAGGUAUCAGAAGUGCGAAUGCUGACAUAAGUAACGAUAAUGCGGGUGAAAAACCCGCACGCCGGAAGACCAAGGGUUCCUGUCCAACGUUAAUCGGGGCAGGGUGAGUCGACCCCUAAGGCGAGGCCGAAAGGCGUAGUCGAUGGGAAACAGGUUAAUAUUCCUGUACUUGGUGUUACUGCGAAGGGGGGACGGAGAAGGCUAUGUUAGCCGGGCGACGGUUGUCCCGGUUCAAGCAUGUAGGCGGAGGUUCCAGGUAAAUCCGGUACCUUUUUAACGCUGAGGUGUGAUGACGAGGCACUACGGUGCUGAAGUAACAAAUGCCCUGCUUCCAGGAAAAGCCUCUAAGCAUCAGGUAACACGAAAUCGUACCCCAAACCGACACAGGUGGUCAGGUAGAGAAUACCAAGGCGCUUGAGAGAACUCGGGUGAAGGAACUAGGCAAAAUGGUGCCGUAACUUCGGGAGAAGGCACGCUGAUAUGUAGGUGAAGUGAUUUACUCAUGGAGCUGAAAUCAGUCGAAGAUACCAGCUGGCUGCAACUGUUUAUUAAAAACUACAGCACUGUGCAAACACGAAAGUGGACGUAUACGGUGUGACGCCUGCCCGGUGCCGGAAGGUUAAUUGAUGGGGUUAUCCGUAAGGAGAAGCUCUUGAUCGAAGCCCCGGUAAACGGCGGCCGUAACUAUAACGGUCCUAAGGUAGCGAAAUUCCUUGUCGGGUAAGUUCCGACCUGCACGAAUGGCGUAAUGAUGGCCAGGCUGUCUCCACCCGAGACUCAGUGAAAUUGAACUCGCUGUGAAGAUGCAGUGUACCCGCGGCAAGACGGAAAGACCCCGUGAACCUUUACUAUAGCUUGACACUGAACACUGGUCCUUGAUGUGUAGGAUAGGUGGGAGGCUUUGAAGUGUGGACGCCAGUCUGCAUGGAGCCAACCUUGAAAUACCACCCUUUAAUGGCUGGUGUUCUAACGUGGGCCCGUAAUCCGGGUUGCGG
rnacentral:rRNA from 1 species